ensembl:lncRNA
AAUCUGAGGGACUCACUUACGGGCUCCCUUCCCAAAAACGCCCAUUUAAGUAAAUGGAAUAAAAUAGAUAAAAAUAAAUCUACCAACCACCAGGCACUAGCUACAAACCACCAGCUAUCAGCCAGCUAUCAGCCACCAACCUUCACUUCAGGCCUAAUGAGAGGUGCUGAUCCCAGACUCACUGAUGGAGACAACAAUGACCACCACACACACACACACACACACACACGAGUACACACACAGGGAAGCCUUCAAUUGUGUUGUUUACAUAAUCUCUGAAUUAUUCCACUCCCCUGUGUUACAGUAUGUGCCAGGGUCCAGAGAGAGCAUAGUAUUAUGAAAAUAAUAAGCAUCUCACUGUAAGGAGUCUUUCUUCCUGCCCUGGCUGCUUAUGGGUGGCGGCAGAGGCAAUGGGAGUCAUGAAGGAGGUAACACACCUCUCAACUGCUGAGAUGAGCUGGGGCAGAGGACUGCUGGCGUGUGAGGAUACAGCAUGGUACCAAUCAGAACAGCAGCACAAAGGAGCACAGCCAUGCCCUUGUCAAAGCCCGGAGGUGCCCGUUCCCUGGUAAUGUAAAAUCCGAGAACAUCCAAGAACACGAGAAAUAAAUGUCACAUGGAACAAUGACAGACAAGAAACACUAGGGCAGGAGGAACUUCAACAGGGACAUGACGAGGGGGCAUACUAGAUACAGGUGAAAGCAGUACACUAACGAGACUAAACUGAAAAAAGAAACAGAGAAACUGGAGCAGAACAUAGAAAUGUAACCACCCGUUACACUAAUGGAGGAACCACAGAGUCCUUGUAGGAGUCGGAAGACAGGGAGGGCCUGGCACAUGGGGUGGAUACUCUUACCCAUCAUCCCCUAAAGAAGGAAACCUGGCCUCUGUGUGCCGUUGAAUAAAUCACCACACCAAGCCUCCACUAAUACUUUAAUUGUGAAUGAAUCAGACUGAUUAAUAUGGAGAAGCUGCUCUAUCAAUGUUCUGGCUAAAGCCAACCCGUGCCUGUGGACAUUGUUUCCAUUCACAGCACAUUCAACGUUACAUUCGGAUGCACACUGUACAGAAGCCACAGUUAUUAUUUGGAAUAUAUUCUUGAUAGAUUUUCUAUUGAAUUAAGACAGCCUUUCUCCGACCAGAAGAAUGAAAGAAGAUGACUGUGUGUGGCUGUGUGUGUGUGUACGUGAGAG